rnacentral:pre_miRNA from 1 species
UUCUAUGAAUCAGCACAGAAAGUGGUUUCUUGAGAUGGAAUCUACUCUUCAUGAAGAUACUGUGAA